GACGAACGCUGGCGGCGUGCUUAACACAUGCAAGUCGAACGAAGUGGCGAAAGGGUGAGUAACGCGUAAUCCACCUGCCCUUCCGCGGGGGACAACAGUUGGAAACGACUGCUAAUACCGCAUACGGAAGGCGGGGAUUGCGUCUGAUUAGCUAGUUGGAGGGGUAACGGCCCACCAAGGCGAUGAUCAGUAGCCGGUCUGAGAUGCUGAACGGCCACAUUGCGACUGAGACCCGGCCCAGACUCCUACGGGAGGCAGCAGUUGGGAAUCUUCCGCAAUGGACGAAAGUCUGACGGAGCAACGCCGCGUGAGUGAUGACGGCCUUCGGGUUGUAAAGCUCUGUUAAUCGGGACGCGGUACCGGAAUAGAAAGCCACGGCUAACUACGUGCCAGCAGCCGCGGUAAUUC
rnacentral:rRNA from 1 species